GCUUAACUUGAGAACAGGAAAAUUUGUACACCGGAGCACGAAUGCAAUGAAGAACAGAAUACUACUUGUCCGCUACAUUCCUCCUGUUUUGUGAAUAAUGACGUGGUAAACUGCACGUGUUUGAAUGGCUAUCAAGGAGAUAAUUGCAUCGACAUUGACGAGUGCAUAUCGGAUGGUGAUUUGUGCUCCCACAACUGCUUAAACACAGAUGGAAGCUUCAGUU